rnacentral:rRNA from 1 species
AUGUCUGCGGCAGCUUACACAUGCAGUCGAGCGGAACGAUGGUAGCUUGCUACCAGGCGUCGAGCGGCGGACGGGUGAGUAAUACUUAGGAAUCUACCUAGUAGUGGGGGAUAGCUCGGGGAAACUCGAAUUAAUACCGCAUACGACCUACGGGAGAAAGGGGGCAACUUGUUGCUCUCGCUAUUAGAUGAGCCUAAGUCGGAUUAGCUAGAUGGUGGGGUAAAGGCCUACCAUGGCGACGAUCUGUAGCUGGUCUGAGAGGAUGAUCAGCCACACCGGGACUGAGACACGGCCCGGACUCCUACGGGAGGCAGCAGUGGGGAAUAUUGGACAAUGGGGGAAACCCUGAUCCAGCCAUGCCGCGUGUGUGAAGAAGGCCUUUUGGUUGUAAAGCACUUUAAGCAGUGAAGAAGACUCCUCGGUUAAUACCCGUGGACGAUGACAUUAGCUGCAGAAUAAGCACCGGCUAACUCUGUGCCAGCAGCCGCGGUAAUACAGAGGGUGCAAGCGUUAAUCGGAAUUACUGGGCGUAAAGCGAGCGUAGGUGGCUUGAUAAGUCAGAUGUGAAAUCCCCGGGCUUAACCUGGGAACUGCAUCUGAAACUGUUAGGCUAGAGUAGGUGAGAGGAAGGUAGAAUUCCAGGUGUAGCGGUGAAAUGCGUAGAGAUCUGGAGGAAUACCGAUGGCGAAGGCAGCCUUCUGGCAUCAUACCGACACUGAGGCUCGAAAGCGUGGGUAGCAAACAGGAUUAGAUACCCUGGUAGUCCACGCCGUAAACGAUGUCUACUAGUCGUUGGGUCCCUUGAGGACUUAGUGACGCAGCUAACGCAAUAAGUAGACCGCCUGGGGAGUACGGCCGCAAGGUUAAAACUCAAUGAAUUUGACGGGGGCCCGCACAAGCGGUGGAGCAUGUGUUUAAUUCGAUGCAACGCGAGACCUUACCUGGUCUUGACAUAUCUAGAAUCCUGCAGAGAUGCGGGAGUGCCUUCGGGAAUUAGAUUA